CAAAACAGCAUGGCAGAUGGCAGAGGAGAAGCCGACAAGCGAGAGAUUAUCAAGCCAUCAUUGCGGUCCAGUGUGUGGAAACAUUUUGGCUUUUGCAAAGACGCGCAUGUUCUAAAUAAGUCGCUCGCUGUUUGUAGGAUAUGUAGAGGUCAAGUAAAGUACAACUGCAACACGACAAAUCUCUCCAACCACCUACUAAGGCGCCAUGGGAUUUCACACAACAACGACCGUCCAAGCACCUCUUGCAGCGUUCCCGCUGCUACAGCAGCGCAAGGUAGGGCUAGGCAAUAAAUCGAUUUAAUCGAUUUAUCGAUUUUGUAGUGUAAAACGAUUUUUAUUUUGCAAACUCGAGUUUUUUGCCACAAUAGUUUUUUCGGACUUUUCCGCGUUUCGUCCUUGUGCGUUACCAUAGAUACUAAAAGAAGCGCGUAACACACAAUCAAAACAACAUGGCAGCGUGUAGUACUAGCAGAGAACUACUUCCAAAGAAAGGCACAGGAAACUCCGUAAUUUGGAACUGGUUUGGUUUUGAUGCAGCAGACAAAACACAGACGAAGCCUUGCUGCAAAAUAUGUUUCAAGGCUGUUGCUACUGGAAGCAGCAGUAGAACAAAUCUUUUCCAGCACCUGAGGAAUAAACAUCGCGAAGAAUGGGAGAAGUGCAGCCGGCUCCGUAGCGAAAACGGCUCCUCUAGCACACCUGCUAAAAAGCAAACUACACUUCCUGAGAGCUUUACAAACUGUGUGUCUUAUGAUAAGAACGGAACGCGAUCACAUCACAUGCUAAAAAUAUUAGAUGCGAGGUACGUUGUCCCCAGUCGCAAGUAUUUCGCCACUAUAGCGCUGCCUCACCUGUACAAUACAACUCGGGAAAAGAUCCGCAGUGAGCUGGAGGAGAUGCAGUUUUACUCAGCCACAACGGACCUUUGGUCCAGCUGGACGAUGCAGCCAUAUCUGAGUCUGACGGUUCACUACAUCAACACUAGUUGGACUCUGCGCAGCAUUUGCCUUCAGACAGCGUAUUUCCCCGACAACCACACUGGUGAAAUAAUUGCCCAUGGCUUAAAAGACGCUCUCAGCUCCUGGGGACUUUCGGAGGAACGACUCGUCUGCAUGACAACUGAUAGUGGCACCAACAUCAUAAAAGCCCUUAAAGACAACAACUGGCCCAGCUUGCAGUGUUUUGGCCACAGACUCCACAACGCUAUAGAGAAUGGUGUAAAGGAUCCAAGGAUCGAUCUGCAAAAAAGCUGUAUCAGCCUUCUCCUACAGCUGGAAAAAAAGACGAGACAUGACAGAGUUUCAGGCUGAGCUUGGACUUCCCCAGCAUCUUUUGAUCUCAGAAUCCCCAACACGUUGGGGGUCUCGUCAAAAGAUGAUUGAGCGCUUUCUCGAGCAAGAGAAGGCAAUAACUCGUGUCCUGGGUGCGGACAUGAAAACGCGUCAUCUUGUUCAAACAUGGCAAGAUUUGGAAGUAUUAGAAGCCACCAACAAAGCAGUGAAACCUCUCCAGGACUUCACUGAUGCACUGUCAGGGGAAUCAUAUGUCAGUGUGUCAUGCAUCAAUCCAGUGCUGCAUUUGUUUAAAACAAGUCUCCUCCUGCUGGAGGAGGAAGAUUUGGAGCUAACAAAAACAAUCAAAGCUAACAUCAUGCGUUACCUCGAAAGUAAAUACUGUGAUUUGGAGAAAGAGGAACUUUUGGACAUGGCCACACUUUUAGACCCGAGUUUCCUUACAACCUACAUUGAUGCUAGCAAACUGGAAGUUGUCAAAAAAAGAGCGGUGUCUGAGAUCUCUGCUCUCUGCAACUCUACCACAGAGGAAGCUGGUCCCUCAGCUGUUCAAGAGAACACCCCACCAAAAAAGAAAAUGACUCUGGGUGCCUUCUUUAAAAACAGUGGACCAUCCACCACUCCACACCCACAAUCUGAGAAAACAAAAAUUGAGACUGAGCUUGCAACGUAUUUCCUUAUUCCAGACAUAGAGCCAGACACAGAUCUUCUUGAAUGGUGGAAGCUGCAUCAGCCCAACUUUCCAAGGCUAAGCUUACUGGCUAAAAAAUAUCUUUCUAUUCCAGCCACUAGUGCCCCCUCAGAGAGGGUAUUUAGUGUGGGUGGGGGAAUAGUUACCUGCAACCGGGCCUGUCUUAAGCCAGAGGUUGUGGACAGGCUCAUCUUUCUUGCAAAAAAUGCUUAGAAUGAGCAUGCACAAUGUUUCAGAGAUCUAACAAGCACCUGUUUUGUUAUAGGUAAAAGUUUACAUUUGUUCACUCUUUGAGCAGGCUAUAUGUCUGCCACAGGCAUGUUUAAUUUUUUAUAUUCACAGUUCACACUAUACUGAGAAGAGUUUAUUUUUUUAAUUGUAAUGUUAUAUGUUACAAAAUUUCUUGAACAGAAAAUUUAAGCUACUGUGAAGUUGUUGCACUUUUGCUUAAACCUGGGUUAAAGCUUGAAAUUGUUGAAUGACAGAGCCUCAUUUACUUUUUGUUUUGGGAUUGUACGCAUUUUAACUCUUGAGGACAAUCAUAGCAAUAAAGUUGCACUUUUGACACUAUAUCUGAUGUCUGCAGUCAUUUAAGUACAUUGAAAAAAAAAUCGGAAAUCGAAUCGAAACUCGAAUUUUUCUUUAAAAAAUCGAAGAUUUUUUUUUUAGGCAAAAUCGCCCAGCCCUAGCGCAAGGUAAAGUCAACUCUGCCGAAGCCUCAGGCCUCGCCUGCAUGUUUAGUCAGAGACUAGGCCAAAACUCAGCUCAGGCGAACAACAUCACGGCAACAAUUGCCAAGUUUAUCUGCCAAGACAUGCAACCCUACAGUGUGGUUGAAAAUCCGGGGUUCCGUGAAAUGAUUCAAACAUUGGAGCCAAGGUACACAAUACCAAGCAGACCACACUUCUCAGAAAAGGUUAUUCCUGCAUUGUACGAAAGUACUAAAAAUGAUGUGAAGCUGUCGCUUUCUCAAGCUGAACGAGUAGCGAUAACGACGGAUGGCUGGACGUCAUGCUCAAAUCAAGGGUAUGUGACAAUUACCUCUCAUCACAUUGAUCUGGAGUGGAAAAUGAAGACCUUUGUUCUGCAAACCAGAGUUUUAAGUGAAGCCCAUACUGGUAAAAAUAUUGGUGCGUUACUGCGUGAAGCCUGCAUGGAGUGGAAAAUCUCAGACAAGAAUCCUGCCAUCGUCACAGAUAACGCCAGGAACAUGAUUGUGGCCGGUGCAGAAGCCCAUUUCAGUCCACACAUUACCUGCUUCGCACAUACACUCAACCUUGCCUGGCAGAAGGGUUUGGGGGUGGACCGUGCUUCCAGGUUGUUGGGGAAAGUGCAAAUUUUUUUUGGAUAUUUUCACCGCAGCCCGAUUGCAUGUCACGUCCUACAGGAAAAACAAACUCUGAUGGAUUUACCAAAACAUAAACUGAUCCAAGACAUAAUCACCAGGUGGAACAGUUCAUUCGAAAUGCUUGAAAGUUUUUUGGAACAACAGCCAGCUAUGAUGGCAACUCUGAUGUCCAAGGACCUACGAAAGGGGGUCACAGAUGUAGGCACGCUGAGUGAGAGUGAUAUUGCCAACAUGGAUGACAUUGUUCAGUUGAUGGGUCCUGUCAAAAUGGCAACCACUGUGAUGUGUGAAGAAGACCAGCCAACUCUCUCUGUAAUUGCUCCUCUUCAAGCAAAACUGCUGAAACACCUACAGCCAUGCGAAGACGACUCAACCCUGGUUGCAGAGAUUAAGAGGGUGAUGGCCGAUGACCUCUCCACACGCUACAGAGGCACCCAAGAUGCUCUCAACAUAGCAUCAGCGUUGGAUCCUCGAUUUAAAGAACUGCCCUACCUGGAAAAAUAGGACAGAGAACAGGUUUACACAAAACUGGUUUUUGAGGCAGAAGUGUCCCACCAGAUUUCUGUGUGGAGUCUUAAAGAGCAGAAAUUUGAACAGUUAACACAUUCUUACAUCAAUAGAUGCAAGCAAUGGGAAAUCAGGAGGAAGACGAGGGAAGCUCAAGCACAAAGCUGUCACGAUUUAAUGAAGAGACCACAGCUCCAAAUGAGUCACCUCCUUGUAAGAAGAAAGCCUUAGAUGCACUGUUUGGCAAUUCCUUCACCCAAAGAGAAAGAAAAUCCACAAGCGAGACAGCCAGAGCAGAGGUGUUAAGGUACCGAGCAAAAGAUGCGUUGCCUUUGACUGAAAAUACCAUGAAGUGGUGGAGAUCUCAGGAGAAAGAGCUACCUGUACUUUCAACCCUUGCUAAAUGGUACCUGUGCAUUCCAGGCACCAGUAGAGCAAGUUUUUAGUACUGCUGGUGACAUAGUGAACGCACAGAGAAGUGUUCUGCGCCCAGAUCAUGUUGAUCAGUUGAUAUUUUUGAAAAAAAAUCUGUAGAGUCAUUGAAGUUGGUUACACUUGAUCUUUUGUUGAAUAUUGUUUGUUUAUUAAAAUGAGAGUAGUAGCAGGUUUAGCCACGGCUCAUUCAACCUGAAGAAAUGUUGGUUGCACUUUAUUUUUGAUAUACUGUAAUUGUAUUAUAUUUAUGUUGAAAAAC